rnacentral:rRNA from 1 species
GAUAGAGGAUGCAAGCGUUAUCCAGAAUGAUUGGGCGUAAAGCGUCUGUAGGUGGCUUUUCAAGUCCGCCGUCAAAUCCCAGGGCUCAACCCUGGUCAGGCGGUGGAAACUACCAAGCUGGAGUACGGUAGGGGCAGGGGAAUUUCCGGUGGAGCGGUGAAAUGCAUUGAGAUCGAAAAGAACACCAACGGACGAAAGCACUCUGCUGGGCCAACACUGACACUGAGAGACGAAAUCUAGGGGAGCAAAUGG